UACGUAGGGACCAAGCGUUGUUCGGAAUUACUGGGCGUAAAGGGCUCGUAGGCGGCCAACUAAGUCGGAUGUGAAAUCCCCAGGCUUAACCUGGGAACUGCAUCCGAUACUGGAUGGCUUGAAUCCGGGAGAGGGAUGCAGAAUUCCAGGUGUAGCGGUGAAAUGCGUAGAUAUCUGGAGGAAUACCGGUGGCGAAGGCGGCAUCCUGGACCGGCAUUGACGCUGAUGAGCGAAAGCUAGGGGAGCAAACGGG
rnacentral:rRNA from 1 species